rnacentral:tRNA from 14 species
GGGGAUGUAGCUUAAUGGUAAAGCCUCAGUCUUCCAAACUGAUGACCGGAGUUCGAUUCUCCGUAUCCCCUCCA